GGGCUUAUAGCUCAGUGGUAGAGCGCUCGCUUUGCAUACCACCAACUGUCCUUCGGUGUAAGGUCUUGCCUGCGAGAGGUCAGGGGUUCGACUCCCUUUGAGUCCA